ACAAUAUUUAUAUGCCAAUUGAUUUAUUUUAUAGUUAUUUAUGAGCUAGGAGUUUCCACGUUUCAUCUGUUAGCCGGAGCCAUCGAGAGGUAUUUGACUAUGAUUAAAAGGAGGCCUUAUGGUGCCAAUAAAAAGUACAGGGUUUUCCUUUGUAUUGGUUUAUCUCAGUUUCCCUGAGUACCUUAUCAGUCUUCAGCUGGAACUGUACUAACAAUUUACCAGACUGCUCAACAGCGUUGCCUCUUUAUUCCAAGAAAUAUGUUGCAUUUUUCAUCAGUAUCUUUAUAAUCAUUGUGGUGACAACUGUUAUCAUGUAUGCAUAUAUUUACUGGUAAAGUCCUGUCGCCAUAAUGUCCCUAAGCAUAAUAAUUCAAAAAGAAAAGGAGGACUUGUGGCACCUUAGAGACUAACACAUUUAUUUGAGCAUAAGCUUUCAUGAGCUACAGCGCCCUUCAUCGGAUGCAAAGCUUAUGCUCAAAUAAAUAUGUUAGUCUCUAAGGUGCCACGAGUCGUCCUUUUCUUUUUGUGGAUACAGACUAACAUGGCUGCUACUCUGAAACCCAUAAUAACUCAGAUAUCUGUGGCAUUGCUUAGGACAUUUGUGAUUGUAGUCAGCUUAUUCAUUACCUGUUGGUCUCCGGUGUUGUUCCGUUGCUCCUAGAUGUAGCCUGCAAAGUAAGAUAACAUGCCAUUUAUACAAGCCCGACUGGUUUAUCGCCUCGGUGGCUAUUAAUUCUACACUGAGUCUGAGCAAGGCAAUGUGGUAGGUUUUCUUUUGCCUUAUUUGUGGCUGUCUAGUGAAGACAAACAAGCAUGGCCAGAUUUUUGCCUAUUCAGCCCACUGCAGAUUACAGUUGAAGUAAAUCUACAGCUUUUUAGGAUCCAAUUACAAAGUUUUUCAAUCAUAGGGAAAAACUUUAAGCAGGUUUUUGAAACUUUGAGUACCUAUUUGUCACAUAACUAGUUUCGGUUUGGGCUUUAAUUUUGUAAGAGAACUGACUCGGGGAAGUAUAAGGCACAAAAAUAAUACAAAACUUAAGGCUGCACAGCCCCUAUCUUCCUACGUCCUUAAACAGAAGUUCCUCGUUGCUUAGGGAGGGAGACCAACAGACCUUUGAAGUGUUAGCCCUGAACUAUGGGCACAGCCACUGUAUAAAAGAGGAUGAGCCUGUGAUUAAGAAUGGAAGAGCCUAAAAGCUGCCUGAACAAGAGUCUCCUGAUUAACCAGCAUGAGAACAAAGGAGGCCUUUUUGCUUUGAAUGGGACGACUGACCCUGUUGAUUGCGUUGCUUGCAAAGAAUCGCACCAGUGUUUUCUGCCUUCCAGAUGUCCCCAGCUCUGCACGUUUCAUAGGCAGCCAAUGGCUCUGGUGUGAUGGGCUGGUUCUGUGCGAUGCCCAGAAAGGACUGAAGAUCUGAUGUAUGCAUUUCCCAUGUAUGUGCCUUUAAUUGAAUGGGUUUGUUCCAAAUUCACUAGUGUUCCACCGGCUUUCUCCCGAGCCCUUAAUUACAGUGUUUACUAAUGACCUAUUGGCUAAAGAAAAUGGCUCUUGUGAGGCUUUUGAUCAUGCCUCUCUUUUUUUCUUUUUUUUUUUUUGGUCAUGCAUUACAGCUUGUGGGCAGGAACUUUUAAAUGCUAAUGAUUCAGCUACUCCAUGGGAGUCGAUGUAACUAGAAUUAACCUUCUGUGGCAUUAAAGUGUGCUCCCCAUUCCUGUUAAAAUUGCUCCCCCAGCCACCAGUGCCAUCCCUGCAAUCUGCUCUGAAAUUCUCCAUGCAGCAUUGCAAGGCAUUCAUGCUCUGCUGUCCUUAACUCUUGUUCCAUCUCUCCCCUCAUUCUCAUUUGGGACAACCAGGUCCCUCUUACAGACAUCCAGAGAGGUUUUUUAAGUAGCCAGCAUUCGUUUUUAGAUCAGUUGCAACCUCAGACCUUCCCAUCUGGCUCCAGAAUGCCGAUUGAGGAGGGAGGGUGUUUUUGGUCGGUGCUCUAUCCUUCGUGGGAGUUGUGUAAAAUACUUUUAAAGAGCUGCCGAGUUCUGAUAAAUUUUGCAAACGGCAAUGGGUCAUGGAAAGCCCACUGAACUGUUACUUUUUUACUUUUCCCCAGCAUGGUUGAUUUUCCAAGAUGUUUGUGCAUGAAGCGGACACUAUCUCCUCUCCUUCAUAGUCAUUUCUCUCCUGCCUGAAUCGUGCAGUGAGAGACAUCCUAUUUCAUCUCCCUGGAGGUCAUUGGGGUCUCCACUCUUCCUGGAGGCAUCAGCCAAGGUCGAGGGGGAAAACCUGUCUGGGUAAAAUCAGAACCAGCCGGAGCAUUUAUCAGAGCUGGAAUUAAUUCCAUGGCUCAAGAGUGGAGUUUAGGACUCAACAAGGAUCUUUAUUCAUCUCAGCUGCUAUUUAAUGUGAUCUGAUCUCCUAUGUAUCUAAUGCCUCCAUUACCAUCAUGUCUAUCCAGGCAUGAAGGUAAUCAGAAUGAUGUGACUCUUAUACCUCAUGACAUGCUAGGGCUGGAGAGCUCUUUGUCAGACCAGGGGCAAAAGCUUUCAGUAUCAGCCAACAUUUCCCAAGCACUGGGAUCUGAUACUUUCAAAAACAAAAAAAACCCUACU